rnacentral:rRNA from 1 species
AGAGCGAACGCUGGCGGCAGGCUUAACACAUGCAAGUCGAGCGGGCGUAGCAAUACGUCAGCGGCAGACGGGUGAGUAACGCGUGGGAACGUACCUUUUGGUUCGGAACAACACAGGGAAACUUGUGCUAAUACCGGAUAAGCCCUUACGGGGAAAGAUUUAUCGCCGAAAGAUCGGCCCGCGUCUGAUUAGCUAGUUGGUGAGGUAACGGCUCACCAAGGCGACGAUCAGUAGCUGGUCUGAGAGAAUGAUCAGCCACAUUGGGACUGAGACACGGCCCAAACUCCUACGGGAGGCAGCAGUGGGGAAUAUUGGACAAUGGGCGCAAGCCUGAUCCAGCCAUGCCGCGUGAGUGAUGAAGGCCCUAGGGUUGUAAAGCUCUUUUGUGCGGGAAGAUAAUGACGGUACCGCAAGAAUAAGCCCCGGCUAACUUCGCGCCAGCAGCCGC